CCUCACAAAGCGGGAGGGCGUGGGCCGGAGGAGGAGUGCGGGGACGGCCGAAGGGGCCGGGCGGCCAGCGGAGAUGGCUGUGUCCGAGCCGGGGGGCAGCGCGGCGACUUGGGUAAAGAAUUAGUAUCCUAUAUAACAUCACGAUCAACAUUGAAUGGUUGAGGGAUCGGUAACAUUCAAAGAUGUGACUAUGGCCUUUACCCAGAAGGAAUGGGAGCAGCUAGAUCCUGCUCAGAGGAACCUGUAUAAGGAUGUGAUGCUGGAGAACUACAGCAACCUUGCCUCAAUGGGGUAUCAAGCUCCCAAACCAGACAUGAUCUCCAAGUUGGAAAAAGGAGAAGAGCCAUGGUUGGGGAAGGGCAAAAGACCCAGACAAGGUGGUCCCAGUGAAAUAGCAAGACCCAAGCAAAUAGGAACCA